rnacentral:lncRNA from 10 species
CAGGAGACCAGCACAAAUUUCCUCCACAGGCUCAGGGGAAAGAUCACUUGAUCAUUCAGGAGAACUCCUGUGGUCUGGGAGGACUCAGAGAAUUGGAACAGGCCCGGCUCUGCUGCCAGAUGUUUCUAAGAAAUCCAGUAAUGAAGACAAUCCCAUGAUAUGAUCCACAGAGGAUUGCUGCUUUGCGGGGAGAGGGGGCUAGAAUUGCAGAAGAGCAACAGAGUGAGAAGGAAUUUGCAUCCAGCUCUGACCCUGGGGAAUAUCCCAAUCUUCAACCCUGAAGCAGCAUAUGGAGUCUAGGAAGCGUAUGGGGCCAGGCUGUAGCAAUACACCCAGUUAAAACAUCCGCUUCCCAGAUGCCUUUGCACAGUAGAGUGGUCACAUGAUCCACUUCUGGCCAAUGAGAGGGCAUCUUGAGACAAUGUUCUGCCUACACAAAAUUCUAAACUGAGAGGAGUGGCUCAGAAGCUCUACUAACAUGGAAUCACAUGUGAUUCAAGAGAGUGCCAAAGGAAACAACAGGACAGAAGGAGACAUGAGGAAGAGAUGGGACAGACAGCACUCAACCCUGAGCAGACGUGAGGGGCAAAAGAAAAGGCAACAUUAAGGACCCAUUCAAGUUUCAAGUCUCAGCGUCCCAGAGGAUGGUGAGGAUACAGCAAAAAUGGAGAGUGCAAAAGGAGAAAGGCAGUUGAAUGUGAAGAUAACGGGGUCUUCGGAGCCUACCUACUAAGUCUGGUGGGAUAACCCUGUUAAAUGGGAAGAGGGAGGCCUUUCUUGGUACAUUUUAGGAGGAAAAAAAUGGCUGCCUGGAAAGUUCAUAUACCAGCAGCAAAAAGAAAAGCAGAAUGGGAUGAGAGAUUAUGAAAGCCCUUCACGAGGAGGUUAAGUUCUGGCGGGUGUGCCCAUCAGAGACCAGCAGAGACAACUGGCUCUCCGGCCUGAGUUCGCCUACAUCAGAACUAGCACAUCUCUCUGUCUAAUUUCUAAUCACUGUAAAUAUGUUCAAAAUGAAAGAAAAAAGUAAUCUCACACCCCAAUAAACUGGAUCAGAUGUGUGUGCUUCAGUGGGUAGUGGUAAAUCUACAUAUGGAAAACUGUAUUCAGAAACGCCUGACUAUAGCACUUAAAUUCUAUGGCACACAUGGAAUGAAUUGAGAAGAUAGCCAAACUUACAAAUAUUCCACCCACACUGUGUAAUAUGGCAUCCUGAUGCGUUCGGGAAAGUGAAGAACAAUGUGGUGGGACACCCCCUCCACGGCUAAACGUGGACACCUUGAGCAUGGACCAGAUUCUCCCUUUUUUUUUUUUUUUUUUUUUUUUGAGAUAGAAUCUUGCUCUGUCACCUCGGCUAGAGUGCAGUGAUGCGAUCAUGAAUCACUGCAGCCUCAAACUCCUGGGCUAAAGUGAUGCUCCCAUCUGAGCCUCCCAAGUACCUGGGACUACAGGCCUGUGCCACCAUAAUUGACUAUUUUGUUUUGUGUUUUUUGUUUUUUGUUUUUUUAAAUUUUAUUUUAGAGAUGGGGACCUCAUGAUGUUAUCCAGGCUGGUCUUGAAUUUUUGGGCUCAAGCAAUCCUCCUACCUCAGCCUUCGGAGUUGCUAGGAUUACAGGUGUGAGCCAUUAUGUCCAGUGGACCAGAUUCCUUAUGAGAUUUUCAUAUCACUAAGCAUUUGGACAAUCUCAUCAUUUUCUUUUUUUAACUUUUAUUUAAGGUUUGGGGAUACAUGUGAAGGUUUGUUGUUAUAGGUAAACUCACGUUACAGGGGUUCGUUAUACAGAUUAUUUCAUUACCCAGGUAUUAAGCCCAAUAUCCAAUAAUUAUUUUUAUCUGCUCCUCUCCCUCUCCCAUCCUCUACCCUCAAGUAGACCUGAGUGUCUAUUGUUCCCUUCUUUGUGUUUAUGAGUUCUCAUAAUUUAGCUCCCACUUGUAAGUUUGAACAGAACAUACAUCUGUUCCUGUGUUAGUUUGCUAAGGAUAAUAGCCUCCAGCUCCAUCCACGUUCCUGCAAAAGACAUGAUCUUGUUCUUUUUUAUGGCUGCGUAGUAUUCUAUGAAGUAUAUGUACCACAUUUUCUUUAUGUAAUCUGUCAUUGAUGGGCAUUUAGGUUGAUUCCAUGUAUUUGCUAUUGUAAAUAGUGCUGCAAUGAACAUUCCUGUGCAUGUGUCUUUAUUAUAGAAUGAUUUAUGGUCCUCUGGGUAUAUACCCAGUAACAGGAUUGCUGAGUCAAAUGGUAGUUCUGCUUUUAGCUCUUUGAGGAAUCGCCUUACUGCUCUCCACAAUGAUUGAACUAAUUUACACUCCCACCAACAGUGUAUACCUGUUCCCUUUUCUCAGCAACCUCGACAGCAUCUGUUUUUUUUUUUUUUUUUUUUGACUUUUUAAUAAUAGCCAUCCUGACUGGUAUGAGAUGGUAUCUCAUUGCGGUUUUGAUUUGCAUUUCUCUAAUGAUCAGUGAUAUAGAGCUUUUUAUUCGUAUGCUUCUUGGCUGCAUGUAUGUCUUCUUUUGGAAAGUGUCUGUUCAUGUCCUUGCCCACAUUUUCAAUGGGGUUGUUUUUCUCUUGUAAAUUUGUUUAAGUUUCUUAUAGAUGCUGUAUAUUAGACCUUUGUCGGAUGUGUAGUUUGCAAAUAUUUUCUCCCGUUCUGUAGGUUGUCUGUUUACUCUCUUCAUAGUUUCCUUUGCUGCGCAGAAGCUCUUAAGUUUAAUUAUAACCCAUUUGUUAAUUUUUACUUUUGUCGUGACUGCUUUUGGUGUCUUUGUCAUGAAAUCUUGCUAAUUCUUAUGUCCAGGAUGUUAUUGCCUAGGUUGUCUUCCAGGGUUUUAAUAUUUUGGGUUUUACCUUUAGACUUUAAUCCAUCUUGAGUUCAAUCUCAUCAUUUUCUGAAAAGAAAUCAUACACUAUCC